GGGGCUGACGUGGUUUUGACAGCAAGGUAAAUGAUUGUGUAAGCAUACCGGGCAACGCAGGCUAUCCCGUAAAACUGUCUUGCAGAACAAUAACUGGCGCAGAAAAUAACUAUGCUUUCGCUGCGUAGUCGAAGAUUAGUAGACUUGGCUUAAUUCCGGCACAAGGUGUUGGAACGAAACAUCGCUCGAUUGGACGGUCUGGUUCCGUUUCGGUACAGCGGUGGCAAAAAAUACCGGACUGGUCGCUUCUAUUCUCCUGUGAGGUGGCGAGAUUUUUAGGAGAUAAGGAUGAGUUUGGGCGUCUGCCCCCGUGCUUCUCCCGACAACCAAUGGCGGAAUAAGUAUGUAGAAAGCACCUUUGUUUCUUGUUUGGACCCGGGUUCGAUUCCCGGCAGCUCCACGC
rnacentral:tmRNA from 1 species